AGUCGACGGUACAUUUCUAGCUUGCUAGANAUGACGAGUGGCGGACGGGUGAGUAUGCUUGGGACUUGCCUUUGCGAGGGGGAUACAGUUGGAACGACUGCUAAUACCGCAUAAUGUCUACGGACCAAACGGGGCUUCGGCUCCGGCGCAAGAGAGGCCCAAGUGAGAUUAGCUAGUUGGUAAGGUAACGGCCUACCAAGGCGACGAUCUCUAGCUGUUCUGAGAGGAAGAUCAGCCACACUGGGACUGAGACACGGCCCACACUCCUACGGGAGGCAGCAGUGGGGAAUAUUGCACAAUGGGGGAAACCCUGAUGCAGCCAUGCCGCGUGUGUGAAGAGGCCUUCGGGUUGUAAAGCACUUUCAGUUGUGAGGAAAAGUUAGUAGUUAAUACCUGCUAGCCGUGACGUUAACAACAGAAGAGCACCGGCUAACUCCGUGCCAGCAGCCGCGGUAAUACGGAGGGUGCGAGCGUUAAUCGGAAUUACUGGGCGUAAAGCGCACGCGGGCGGUUUGUUAAGCUAGAUGUGAAGCCCCGGGCUCAACCUGGGAUGGUCAUUAGAGUGGAGACUAGAGUCUUGGAGAG
rnacentral:rRNA from 1 species